rnacentral:tRNA from 1 species
AGGUCAGUGGCUAUCUUUUCCGCCUCACACGCGGAAGGUCGCUGGUUCGAUACCAGCCGGGACCACCA